AGGGUCGGUCUGAAUGGCUGGAAAAAAAAUAUAAAAGAUUAAGCGACGGAGAAAGGAAAUAAGGUCUGGCUCAUGGCUGUAAGACAGGGAGUGUUUUGAGGGACAAGGAGAAAUUGGCCUAUAUCUAUGAAACGGUGCUUGGGAAAGGCGAGUCGAGGUCGCCGCUGGGCCCGCAUAUUGUUUAUUUAGUAAGGAUAUCAAAGGCGAUGGAUGUCGCCGCUCUACAGCUGCCCGCUGGAUGAGCAGGGCGAACAUAUGCCAUAUAUAUGUAUAUAUAUAGAUAUAUAGUGUGUGGUAUGCAUAUAUGGAGCACUAUAUAUAAACAUGUACAUGGUCGAUGAUAUGAGCGGAACCGAAAAGAAAAGAACUGAAUCCGAGCGAACCGACUUGGGACGAAGUUGUCGUCCAGCGAAUUCGUAUUAAGAAGUAGUAUAGUAGAUGGGUUGUUCUGAGUGUCGCCAGCUAGGCGCUGCCACAGCUCCCGGUUCAAUAAACGCACUCACACACACACACACCAAACACACACACACAGCAUAGAUACCCCCACACACUCACUGAAUUGUUCGAAUACACUCACGCACUCGCGUUUAUGAGUGGCGUGUAAUCAAAUAAAUGAUGAAAAUGGAGCCAAGACGAAGAGCAAGAUGCUCUACACUGGAAGAACUUCCUUCAGAGAAGUAUGCUAUAAAAAAACGAAUAAAAAUGCCA